rnacentral:rRNA from 1 species
AUUGAACGCUGGCGGCAUGCUUUACACAUGCAAGUCGAACGGUAACAGGCCGCAAGGUGCUGACGAGUGGCGAACCGGUGAGUAAUGCAUCGGAACGUGCCCAGUCGUGGGGGAUAACGCAGCGAAAAUUGCGCUAAUACCGCAUACGAUCUAUGGAUGAAAGCGGGGGACCGUAAGGCCCCGCGCGAUUGGAUCGGCCGAUGUCAGAUUAGGUAGUUGGUGGGGUAAAGGCUCACCAAGCCGACGAUCUGUAGCUGGUCUGAGAGGACGACCAGCCACACUGGGACUGAGACACGGCCCAGACUCCUACGGGAGGCAGCAGUGGGGAAUUUUGGACAAUGGGCGCAAGCCUGAUCCAGCAAUGCCGCGUGCAGGAAGAAGGCCUUCGGGUUGUAAACUGCUUUUGUACGGAACGAAACGGUCCUGGUUAAUACCCGGGGCUAAUGACGGUACCGUAAGAAUAAGCACCGGCUAACUACGUGCCAGCCGCCGCAGUAACAC